GAAGUCCUGGAAAAAAUACAAAAAGAAACGCAACAACGACCUCAAACACGGCAGCUUUAUAACGUGGGUGGACUAUCUGCAGGAAACGCGGAGGCGCGUACCAUGUUCACUUCAGAUAUGCUGUCGAUGCUCUCCACCUGGACGUCGAUGCCGACAGGAAUAGCCGAACCUGCAAAAGAUCAAAGGUUAUGCUGGAUCGGCUUUGAGGAACAAUAGGAUCAGACCCAUCAUGCAUCAUACAUCUGCACAUCUGCCAGAGAUUAUUAAUGUGUAAAUCCCAUUACCGGGCUAUAGGACGGGAACUACGUCGUUGGAUGGAAACCGGUCCCCUGACGUCAUGCUGGCAGAGACGCUCACUGGUAUGGCUGCGUACUAAUCUCCACCUGAUGCACUCAAUGUCCACGCUGGUAAUCCUCGUGGUAGCGUCGAUCCCUCCGACCCACGCUGAUUGUCUGAAGCGUCCUGACCGGGCAAAGGAUCCUUGAGCAUCAGCUCUGCACCCGCUAACCUGCCAGAGACCACUGCUGCUUUGCCUUUUGGCCAAACGGCUUUGCUUUACCGUGUUAAACUAACCCUGUUCGGGUUUGAUUUGCUUUGCCUUUUGGCCAAGUUGCUUGCCUUGUCUUGGUUAAAGUAACUUUCUUUGCCUUUUGGCCAAACCGCUUUGCUUUACCGUGUUAAACUAACCCUGUUCGGGUUUGAUUUGCUUUGCCUUUUGGCCAAGUUGCUUGCCUUGUCUUGGUUAAAGUAACUUUCUUUGCCUUUUGGCCAAACCGCUUUGCUUUACCGUGUUAAACUAACCCUGUUCGGGUUUGAUUUGCUUUGCCUUUUGGCCAAGUUGCUUGCCUUGUCUUGGUUAAAGUAACUUUCUUUGCCUUUUGGCUAAACUGCUUUUCUUUGUUGGUUAAAGUAACCCCGUUUGGGUCUGCCCUGCUUUUAGCUGUAUUUAACCUGUUUUGGCCUCCUAACUGGGUCAAGACACAUUUUAACUGUACGGGAGACCGGCCUUACUCAUUUGUUUGGAUCCUUUUAUUUGUAGUUUUCUUUAUUUUGUGAUUUUGUUUAAGCAGUUUGUCG